ensembl:lncRNA
AUGGGGGCGGUGCGCGGGGAAUGGGACGGCUCCCUCCUUUCGGUGCCAGGAAGUUCCCCAAUCCCACGCUCGAAGAGGGCCGCCGGCUCCUCCCCCGGUCGGGGCGCGGGCACCCAGGGGAGCCUCCAAGGUGCCCACGGCGGACUGGAGCAGGGCGGGGCUCCCGGGGCUGCAGGGUACGGAUGCGGCCACCCGGCGGGAAGCGGCGGGAAGGGACGGGACGGGACGGGACAGGACAAGCGCGUGGCGGCCGCACUCACCCAGGCAGCGGAUGUGGAAGCCCGAGGGCGGCCGCAGGGCCCGGCGGGUCCAGCCCUCGCGCAGCGCCUCCAGAUGCUCCUCCUUGCCCUGGAUCAGCAGGACCUGCUCGUCGAUCCAGCCCAGGAAGAAGGUCUCGGCCACCGCGGCCGUGACCUUCUUGUUCCAGAAGUGCUGCAUGUUCUCGGCUUUGAAGUCGGCGAAGAUCUCGUAGCCGAUGUGGUGCCUGGCGAGCUGGCGGGGCUGGGCAGGGGGCGCGGACCGGGCUGCCCCGGGCCUUUCCCCCGCCGGCCCCUCGGCCGGGCCCAGGACGAUGGCCAGGGAGUGAGGCGCGAUCUGCAGAAACUUCUCCAUCUUCCCGGGCAUCUGCCGCGCAGACCUGGCUCACCGCGGCCACCUCCCGCCACUCCGGGGAACAGCCGCCGGGACGUGGCUGCACGACCAACGGGGAGCGCGACCGUCCCCCAGGGCAGGGCUGGCCUCGCCUCCCGCGCGCCCGCGGUCCUGCCUCCCCGGCGCCCGGCGCAGUCCCGGUUCGCAGCCGGCAGGUCGCCGUUGGGAAGGCACGGUGUGCGGGGCCCGCUCCGGCCCGGCCCGAGCUCUGGCGCGCGUUACCUGCAGCUCCGGGCCACCCUCCGGGCAGCGCUCAUUUUCCAGCGAUGGCACCCUCGCCUCCCCAGGCGCCCAGCGCCCCGCAGGGGCGGAGACGCGGGAGGAAGCGGCGAGGGGGUGGGCAGUGCGGCCCGAGGAGUCCGGAGGAGUCCGCUGAGGGAGGUGGUCGGGGAGCUCGGGUGGCCGAGGGGUGAGUGUUUGGGUGUUGGGCCCCGAGGGAGACCCGAAGGCGGGGGGGAGGGGAGACGCGACUGCGACACUUGGAAGGCACCGAUUCCGGAGAGGCGAGUGUCGCUCCUCCCCACGCUCCACCCUGCCCCCACCUCCCACCUCCCGCUGGAACAAGUGGAUUCGCUGACUGGUUAA